rnacentral:sRNA from 1 species
UUAAUUUUAAUUUAUUUUAAAUAAAGUGUGACAUGACAUAUUGUUGUAUUUUAAUUGAUUAUUAAAGAUGGAGUGAAUGAAGUUGGUUCACCCCUAGAGGGUGAACCCAAGAAUUGUUCUAAAUUUUAUCAUGUCAUCUAACACUUCAAAUUUUUUUUUAAGAAAAUAGACAAAAAAAUAAAGUAAAUCCUCGACAAAAAUAAUAAUUAAUUAGUGGAGUCGAGUCGUUAAGAAAACAAAUUAAACGGAGUCGUCUCUUUUCUUUUUAGGUUUUUGAUUUUGUGGUCACUAUUACGUGAAUUGUUUUCAAUAACAAAAUAUUCAUGUAACUCUCUGAUUUAAGGAAUAUGGUGGUACAUACGGAGAAGGUUUAAAAAAAUUGAUUUGGCCACCGAUGUCACCAAAGUGCACUUAUCUUUUCGGUCACACGUCCUAAGAGAACUCCAUAUUACCUUCCGAGAAAUGAUUGUCGGAACCAUGCGAAUGAGGACAAAGCAUGGAGAAAGAUUAUGUGGUGAUUUGUAGGGAUAGUAACAAGUCUUUAAAGCCUCUCGUACGUGACGCAUCGACCGUCGGACAAGGUGGGCCCAUGGACCCGAGAGAGGAAGUGUGGCCCACUGGUAGGGGCGGUCGGGGCGUUACAGUAAACCAAUUUUAUCAAUUGUUUUGUUUUGCAAUUUUGCGAUUUUUAUAAUUUUACAGUAAACCAACUUUAUCACUUUCUAUAAUUAAAGAUCAUAGAGAAUAUUCGAUGGUUAAGCUGAUAUUUAGAACAUUCUUAUAUCUUAAGCGAUAUACUUUCCCUGAUUAAGGAAGAAGUUACCAUACACUUCAGAAUUGUAUUUGUUGAUAUU